rnacentral:rRNA from 1 species
GCAACUCGCCUACAUGAAGUCGGAAUCGCUAGUAAUCGCGGAUCAGCAUGCCGCGGUGAAUACGUUCCCGGGCCUUGUACACACCACCCGUCACACCAUGAGAGUUUGUAACACCCAAAGCCGGUGGGGUAACCUUUUGGAGCCAGCCGUCUAAGGUGGGACAGAUGAUUGGGGUGAAGUCGUAACAAGGUAAC